AUUGAACGCUGGCGGCAUGCCUUACACAUGCAAGUCGAACGGCAGCACGGGAGCAAUCCUGGUGGCGAGUGGCGAACGGGUGAGUAAUAUAUCGGAACGUGCCCAGUCGUGGGGGAUAACGUAGCGAAAGCUACGCUAAUACCGCAUACGAUCUAUGGAUGAAAGCGGGGGAUCGCAAGACCUCGCGCGAUUGGAGCGGCCGAUAUCAGAUUAGGUAGUUGGUGAGGUAAAGGCUCACCAAGCCGACGAUCUGUAGCUGGUCUGAGAGGACGACCAGCCACACUGGGACUGAGACACGGCCCAGACUCCUACGGGAGGCAGCAGUGGGGAAUUUUGGACAAUGGGCGCAAGCCUGAUCCAGCAAUGCCGCGUGCAGGAUGAAGGCCUUCGGGUUGUAAACUGCUUUUGUACGGAACGAAACGGCGAGCUCUAAUACAGUUUGCUAAUGACGGUACCGUAAGAAUAAGCACCGGCUAACUACGUGCCAGCAGCAGCCGCGG
rnacentral:rRNA from 1 species